AGCAGUUUUCUCUGGACUUUAUUUAAUUUUGUUUAUUUUUUGCCAACAAUUAACGUCAGGCUUGAAGCACAGCUGCGGCAUUAGACAUUUUUAUAUAACAGAUUCACCAGAAGAAGCUUAAAAUGUAUGAUUAGCACAAUUGCUUUACACAUUGUACUGCAGUCAGCGAUUAAACAACACAGUGGCAUUUUACAUAAACCUACAGUUUUUUUACAUUCACACAAGCUUUAUUCCGCUUUACAUCAAAUACAAAAAUGAAAUAAAAUAUAUAAUGAAAACAAUGAAUGGAAAAUUACAAAUGCACAAAACUGAGUGGCGGCAGAAGAUUAAAUAAGCAAUCAAUUAAUCUCUACAAACAAUCAGACUGACAAUCAAUAGGAACAUUAGUGACAUCUGACUAUCUGCUCACCUCCUAAAAUCUCAGAUUAAUAAACAUUCAGACGUUUAACCAAAUUAGCUACGGACCAUUAACAUAACACACCACAAACCUGCUGUACACACAGAUGUUUAGCAACCGACAUUGGCUUUAUGACCCUCGUAGCUACUUUUAUAAGCUAACCGAUAACUAAUUAAUGGACUAUCAGGAAAAAAAUAUGGAAUGGUCAAUAAAUCCUAUUGCAUUUCAUCCCGGUGGAUACUGUUCUGUAGUCCACGGCUCCCCUGCCAACAGCUCGCUGCCCCCACCAAACCCUCUUGGGCCGUGCACAAGCGGUCAGAAGGUGUGGCCCAGUCAGGGGGUCAGCAGAUGUACAGAUACAGAUGGGAGAAACGUAUUUAUAACAAAAAGACAUUUAUUAUUUAUUAGACAUAUUAGACAUUAUUUAGAACAUUUAGGAUCUGAACCAAAAAAAUACCCAAUGUGAUUUAUUUCAACUUCUUUCACUUUAAUUUAAUUUUUUGAUUCAUGAUGAGAUCUCGUUAUUGAGUUUUUAAUUAUUUGUCAAGAAUCUGGAAUGUUUUUCUUUUAAAUAAUUGUAAAUCAAAGUGAUCUCAUCUGCUGAUAAAUACCUUCGUAACCAAUAACAAUGACCAUACAGUAAAAUUGGCUGUUGUAGUUUGCUACAGACAGAAAUCACCGGAAGGUGAAAUUACAGGUAGGGUUUAAUUCAAGGUGUGGACCGGACUUGAUUGUAUAGCUUGAGCUCUCCAUUGCCAUUGGUUCAACGUUGAUUGACCAGCAUUGAUCUCUACCAAUUGGAUACCUCUGUUUUCCUUGUUAUUGGCACUUGGUGAAAUGAGGCGGUAAAAUAUUAUAUUAAAAGGUUCUUUUUGACUCUGCCACGCAGAGGAAAACGCAGUGAUAUUUAAUGUAACAAACCGCAUACAACAAACCGAAUUGUUGUUACUUAAGGAAAA
ensembl:lncRNA